rnacentral:rRNA from 1 species
GACAGAGGGUGCGAGCGUUGUUCGGAAUCACUGGGCGUAAAGCGCACGUAGGCGGCUUUGCAAGUCAGAAGGUCGAAAGCCUGGAGCUCAACUCCAGAGUUGCCUUUUGAGACUGCAUCGGCUCGAAUCGCGGAGAGGUGAGUGGAAUUCCGAGUGUAGAGGUGAAAUUCGUAGAUAUUCGCAAGAACACCAGUGGCCGGAAGGCGGACUCACUG